rnacentral:tRNA from 1 species
GAGAGUGUAACUCAACUGGAUAGAGUACCAGAUUACGAAUCUGGUUGUUGCGGGUUCAAGUCCUGCCACUCUCG